GAGUGUAGCCAGGCUUAAUAAUGAGAAACACUAUUUAGCCGUCUGACCCAGUCACAAAAGGGUUAACUUUUAUUUCUUCUCUUUGAUGGACAUGUAAGUGAGCCAAUGGGUGAGCUCUGUGAGAUAGUGAGCUGACCAAUCAGCUGCCCGCUAGGCUCUGUUACAGUUACACCUCUAGUUUCGCGUCACUGCACGUUCUUUUGGCGCUUGCACUUGAGCAUAGAAGGCUGCGUUAUCUGCUUGAGUGUAAACGAAAGCUGUGCCUGUAUCCACUGUUGUCACGGAGCUAAAGGCAAUGGAUUCCGUUAAAAUGGUCAGGUUUUGGUAAAGAGUGGGAAACAUCGUGCAGAGGUCCUGGAGAGAUACAGAUCCAGACGUUCCGAACGUUCUUCGAGAGACUCAUUGAUUCCCAGUCCAGGUGGCUGGGUGGCGAGCCAACCGUGUUUGACAACGAAUCAAAUCGCUUUAGAUGAACUGUCCGGAUCAUCCUCUUCAUCUUCUUUGUGGUAGGACAAGCACUAACUCAACCUAAAA